CUGCAUAAUUCAUUUGGUUAAAUAAUAAAUCUCUCGUGAUACUGCUAACGCGGAUUGAAUAGCGGAGAGAAUAGUGCUCUGAAACAGAUGUUGAUACAAUAUAGGUCCAUAUAAACUGAAGCUGAUACCUACUCCAUGCUCGCGAUGUUCAUUGACAAUACAAAUGUUCUGAUUUCCAACUUAUUUCGGUAAUAUGUAUGCAUUGAUGAAACAUGGUGGAUAUAAAAUAACCUCUUUAAAACGCCACGAUUGUGAUUAUGUGUUGACUAGGUUCAGAACCAGAUUGGCCUUAUGAUGAAUGAUGGAUGCAACGCUUUUGUAAACAUUAUUCCAUUGGUACAGUGAUGACAUUCUUGAUCGGAUGUUGGCAUGAGCAAAUACACGUAAGUUUCCAUAGUCUUCAUACUGUUUCUCGCUUGAGUAAGUCGGAGUAAAAUUUUGAAAACACCAGUGGUGUGAAAUGGGGUGAUGGGAACAUCGGACUGUCAAGACGAUGAACAUGUGUCCCUAGAGACGUUAGAUGGGUUACAUUAUACAUAUAUAUGCCAUGGACAAAUACCUUACU